UAUUAGGUCGGUGUAAAAGUAAUUGCGGUUUUUGCCAUUACUUUUAGUUGCAAAACUGCAAUUACUUUUGCACCAACCUAAUAC
ensembl:miRNA